GUGUUGGUCACGCCUCCUUCCUGCCUUGCUCUCGCCCCGCCCGGCCCGCUAGGACCCUAGAGAAGGUCCCUGUACGGAGCUAGAGCUGCAUUUAGAGCUGCAUUUAGUUAGCUUUGGCUGUGGGUUGAAUGUGCCAGGCCGCGGUGCCCAAGUGACCUAGGCCUGGCCUGUCUGCACCUGGCACUGUCCCAAGCCCUUGAGCCAGGGUCGGGACUCUGGGAUGGCCUCAUCUGUUCACUUACGCUCACCCACUUGGUGAGCUGGCUCUCUCUAGAGAAUACCCCCCCCCUUUUUUUUUUUUUUUUUUGCUGUUCCGGUGACCCUGUGAGUGAGCUCCGGGGGCACCAAAAUAAAGAGACAGUGAUGCACACUCGCUACUGCCUGCCCAAGUAUGUGACCAAGACUGAGAAGCGCUGCAGGAGGAGAAGUUAAAAAUAAUGAGAAAUAAUUGGAUCCCAAGGUUCAUCAAACGAAGAUGUGGCCAUGGACCUUGGCAUUUGAAACUGUCACCAUGGAGACAAGCAAGCCUCAAAGAAUUUGGAAAGAAGCUCUGUUCCAGAACUUCCUCUUUCUAAUUUUUCUCAUGUCUACAGAAGGGGAAUCUUAAAAUGAGUUACCAGCAGGAUGGAAAUUCAGGACAACAGAAACAGCUGGAUGUGUGAGAACGUCGGUCAUGAUCACACGGUAGAGGAAUCACACGGUGGAGGAAGCUGGGAUCAGGUGCAAGGCAACCUGCCUUCAUUCUUUCACUCGUAGAGGUUUCAGCUCAUUAAAAACUGCUGCGGAGAACACACAUUCUUGCUUAAAACACUCAUGGGAAAAAUUUAAAUAUAAUACUUUCCUUUAUCUUUUGAGAAUGUUA